rnacentral:rRNA from 1 species
CCUACGGGGGGCAGCAGUAGGGAAUCUUCCACAAUGGGCGAAAGCCUGAUGGAGCAACGCCGCGUGGGUGAAGAAGGUCUUCGGAUCGUAAAACUCUGUUGUUAGAGAAGAAAGCGUGUGAGAGUAACUGUUCACGUUUCGACGGUAUCUAACCAGAAAGCCACGGCUAACUACGUGCCAGCAGCCGCGGUAAUACGUAGGUGGCAAGCGUUAUCCGGAUUUAUUGGGCGUAAAGGGAACGCAGGCGGUCUUUUAAGUCUGAUGUGAAAGCCUUCGGCUUAACCGGGGUAGUGCAUUGGAAACUGGGGGACUUGAGUGCAGAAGAGGAGAGUGGAACUCCAUGUGUAGCGGUGAAAUGCGUAGAUAUAUGGAAGAACACCAGUGGCGAAGGCGGCUCUCUGGUCUGUAACUGACGCUGAGGUUCGAAAGCGUGGGUAGCAAACAGGAUUAGAUACCCCAGUAGUC